rnacentral:lncRNA from 1 species
UCCACUGCUGUCCUUAUAGGGUUUAGUGUCCCCAUAGGGCCCCAUAGGGCCCACUGCUGUCCUUAUAGGGUCUCCCUGCUGUCCCCAUAGGUCACAAUGUUGCCCCAUAGGGCUCAGUGACACCCUUAUGGGUCACGGUGUCGUCCCCAUAGGUCUCCUUAUUGUCCCCAUAGGUUCCCAUAUUGUCCCCAUAGCUCUCCUUACUGUCCCCAUAGGUCACACUGCUGUCCCUAUGGGUCCCACUGCUGUCCCCAUAGGUUCCCAUAUUGUCCCCAUAGAUUUCCAUACUGUCCCCAUAGGUCUCCCCAUUGUCCCCAUAGGUUUCCAUACUGUCCCCAUAGGUUUCCAUACUGUCCCCAUAGGUCUCCCCGUUGUCCCCACAGAUCUCGCUGCCGUCCCCCCCCCACCACCAGAGCUGCAGGCCGUUGUCCCCACGCCGGGGGGGCUCGUCGGGGUCCCCCCCCUCCUCAUCGCUGUCCCACGGCGUCGGGAAGAUGCGCUGACCUGAGGACGUGGCCAGGAGGGGCAGCGUGGGGUGCUCCUCCUCUCUCAUUGUCACCCCAUUGUCACCCCCCUUGUCACCUCCU